rnacentral:snoRNA from 1 species
CAUCAAGUGAUGAAAAAAAAUAACUGCAACAAAAUGAUAUUUGUUUGUGAUUAUUAUUCGUAUUUAAGUCUCUGAUGAUG